CAGCCGCCGCGGGAAUACGUAGGGUGCAAGCGUUAAUCGGAAUUACUGGGCGUAAAGCGUGCGCAGGCGGUUAUAUAAGACAGAUGUGAAAUCCCCGGGCUCAACCUGGGAACUGCAUUUGUGACUGUAUAGCUAGAGUACGGCAGAGGGGGAUGGAAUUCCGCGUGUAGCAGUGAAAUGCGUAGAUAUGCGGAGGAACACCGAUGGCGAAGGCAAUCCCCUGGGCCUGUACUGACGCUCAUGCACGAAAGCGUGGGGAGCAAACAGGAUUAGAUACCCCAGUAGUCUCUGUCUCUUAUAC
rnacentral:rRNA from 1 species